ensembl:lncRNA
AAUUGGGCUUAUUCUGCCUUCUAUUGAUUUGGUUACAUGUUAGUGGUACUUGCUUCACAUAUCAAUGAUAUGUCAAAUUGUGCAGAUAUUACAUUUCUGAAAAAUCAGAUCAGUGUUAUUUAAUUUUAGAGUUUUUAGAUUUUAUUUGUGUAUUUGUAUAUAUAUAUAGUUUCAGUUCAUGUUUAUUUUAUUUCAAGUGCUUUUUAUUUAUUUAUUUAUUUAUUUUUUGCUGUUAGUAGUCCCUUACCAGGCUUGCCACACAUGUGAGAGCUGAGUUAUUAUGCAGAACCCUUAAAAUAUAAUUAGCAUCAAUAAUGAGAGUCAGUUGAAUAAGGCUUUAUUUUAUCAAAACCAGAAGUUAUACUGACCCACCAAUUCGAAACAUUUUCCUAAACAUUUUUGACAUCAAUACUUUUGUUAAAGUGAUUUGUGCCUGUAUUCCUCUUGCUCUGACACCCGUGUAGAACUGAAAAUAAUUAUUAUGUCAUGGCUGGGCCACAUAUGAGAGCAAUGUUCAAUAUCAAUACCAGCUGUCUGAACACAUCUUAUAAACUGUGACAUAUAAUACAAAUACAUAAUUUUACAAUAGAAAGAAUUUUUAUACACAAAGGAAUUUUUUUAAUGGAGCAACAUCUGAAAGUAGACACUAGCCAGAUCUUAAACUUUAGUUAUUAAUUUUGAUCAUUGAUCAAAGAUGUCUCUAUACAUGGCCACCCACAAAGAAAUGAUUACAGUGUGACUCCUGCCAUUAUAUCCCAGCAUCAUAUUGAACAUUUAGUCAUUCAUUCAUAUGUCCAUUUGGAAACCGUCCAUAAGUGACAGACCAAAUUUAAGACCUCAUCUUUGGCUUCAUUGUUGAACACAGAUUUUCCGAUUAUGACAGUCCUUAUUUUGUCAGGGCUGAUUAUGAGUGCUUCCAGAUUGAACUCUCCAAGAUCUAUGGACUUCUAUAGUGGAAAGAGGACAUCAAAAGCAUCAUGCUAAAGGCUGGUCUGAAGAAUGUGCAAAUCACGUUCCUGUUUGUGGAUACGCAGAUUAAGAAUGAGUCUUUCCUGGGGGAUGUGAAUAACAUCCUGAACUCAGGCGAUGUGCCAA